rnacentral:tRNA from 1 species
CGCGGGAUGAAGCAGCUAGGUAGCUCGUCGGGCUCAUAACCCGAAGGUCGUAGGUUCAAAUCCUGCUCCCGCAA